CCUAAUUUCUUUCACGGUCUCUCUUACAAUACUAGAGGCAAUUCUACAUGUCACUGAGCCUGUCAAGCAAGUCACUACUGGAGUGGAUGUAGCAAGCUCCUGGAUUCCUUUCCAGUUCAUUAGGUUUAGUCAUUUGGGCAGAGCUCUGUUAAUUUACUGUAUUUCUGUGCUCCUUGGGACAUCCUUGAUAUUCACAAGAUGGGUUUUGAAGCUCAGCAUCGUUAAGGGCAGAAGCUUGGUCACAAUCACAAUGUCAUCACUGACCUUAGUAAGCCUCAGUUGCUCCCAGACAGUACAGCAUUAUGAUCUUAUGGCCCCACCCACAGGCAUCUCGGUGCAUAGCCUGCCCUUCUGUACUGCCUUCAUUAAUGGAGCUCUGACACCUCUAGGGAUGAAGUGGCUCUGCUAUAUUGUGGGACUUGUGGGAACUGGCUGGCACACAGUGGAUCUCUUCCUUAGCUACCUCCUGUUGGUGGUUGUGUAUAUCUAAACGGAAAAUGACAGCCAGAAAACACCACGAGAAAGAAAGCAGCUGCUCUAACGAGGAGAGCAGGUUGAUGUGGAGCGGGUAAUUCCCGGGAAUAUGUCUUCACACCUAGAAGUCAGACCACCCUGGGUUGCUGAGAUGCAGGAGCUCGCCCAGCAGCUUCACAGUGUCCAGGGGCUUUUUCUAGAAAAAAAAUGUUGUGACUGAACCUCCAUUGUAUUUGCUUUUAUUUGUAGCACACAUAUGUAUAGCACCUAAAACAUGAUGCUAGAAAUAAACAUCUGUAUUAGAAACUUCUAAACAAAUAAGUAAAUCUGUUCUUAAACCUCUUGUAAUUACACUAAUAAUUUGCCAAUACAAAUAUACUGAUGCUGUGCUGGAGAUGGAGCUCAGGAGUUCAGAGCAGUGGUUGGUUUUUCAGGAGAUGAGGGUUAGACUCCCAGAAUCCAACCAUCUGUUAACUCAAGCCCCAGGGGUUCUGGCGCCCUCUUCUGACCUCUGUGGGUAUUGCACCCAUGCCGUGCCCAAGCAUACAUGAAGCAAAACAUCUGUAUAAAAUAAAUAAAUCUAAAAAUACAUACUUAAGUGUUAUAAAAAAAUCAGCACUAAUGUUUCAACACUAUGAGGAUGAAAAAGUAUUUCCAUUUUCUUUCAAGGUAUUUUUAAUUCCAAAUUUGGAUUAAAUAUUCUUUGUAUAAAUUAUAUAGAUGGAAAAUGUACCUUUUUCUUGUACACCUAGCACCAGGACACAGGAAAAUUUUUAUUUUGAAAUUAAAAAAUAAAACAUGAUUAGCUGGGGGCAUUUGUGUUCCGGAAUGCGUUUUUCUUA